rnacentral:rRNA from 1 species
ACUCCUACGGGAGGCAGCAGUGGGGAAUAUUGCACAAUGGGGAAACCCUGAUGCAGCCAUGCCGCGUGUGUGAAGAAGGCCUUCGGUUGUAAGCACUUUCAGUAGGGAGGAAGGUAGUGUAGUUAACACCUGCAUUAUUUGACGUUACCUACAGAAGAAGCACCGGCUAACUCCGUGCCAGCAGCCGCGGUAAUACGGAGGGUGCGAGCGUUAAUCGGAAUUACUGGGCGUAAAGCGCAUGCAGGCGGCCUGUUAAGUCAGAUGUGAAAGCCCGGGGCUUAACCUCGGAAUUGCAUUUGAAACUGGCAGGCUAGAGUCUUGUAGAGGGGGUAGAAUUUCAGGUGUAGCGGUGAAAUGCGUAGAGAUCUG